ensembl:lncRNA
CUCCUUCACUGGGUCUAAGGCACAGAAGCCAAACCUCCUUCACUGGGACUAAGGCACAGAGGCCACACCUCCUUCACUGGAAAUAAGGCACAGAAGCCACACCUCCUUCACUGGGACUAAGGCACAGAGGCCACACCUCCUUCACUGGAACUAAGGCACAGAGGCCACACCUCCUUCACUGGGACUAAGGCACAGAGGCCACACCUCCUUCACUGGAACUAAGGCCACACCUCCUUCACUGGGACUAAGGCACAGAGGCCACACCUCCUUCACUGGAACUAAGGCACACCUCCUUCAGCCUCCAAAUUUAUGCCUUUCAGCUUAUAAAACAAACAUGGUCCAUUCACAAUGAAUGCAUGUCUCAGUCUAAUCUAUUCUUAUGUGCCAUAUGAAGCUUUACACAUAUUUCAUUUGGCAUUUAAUUCAGAUUUAUUUCUUGUGCCAUGGUGUAGUGUUUUAAGAGACGAUCAGUAUGUGUGUAACGUGACGCGGCGGUGUAUGAGCCACUGGGGGCCAUUUCGGCGGUGGUUGGCUCCAACAUCAGCCACAGUCAUUUGGCUGUCUCUCUCUGGUCCUUUAUGAGCAGAAACUAUAAGCUGAACUUGGCAUGGUAAAACUACUAAUAACUUCCAGAAAAGAAAAAAGCUAUUACUAUUUUCCUCUGUUUUAAUAUAGACCUGCUCUUCUGCCGAAUUGUACGUUGUUGUUUUUUUAUUCAUUUGACAGCUCUUUAACUUUCCUACUGCUAAAAGACAUGUUUAACUCAUUUAAUCUAUCUUUUUGAUGUUUAAAAACAUAACCACACAGAUAGUGGUGGAUAGAUAGUCUUAUGCCAUAACUAAAUCAUGAAUACAGUGAAAUGGGGAAAAAAGCUUCAAAAAAGCUUUUAUGUUUGUAAAAUGCAAGUUUUCGAGUUCCACUGUAUUGCUACAGUUGCUAUGGUGAUGUGAACAAUAUCUCAAAUGUCUGAUGAGAACUAGGCUUGUCUUAUCUUGAGUGAUUUUCCGAUAUAACAUAAAUAUGUGAAUAAAUUGUCACAAUACACUUUUUCAGGUGUCACAAUAUCCUUUUAUAUUUUUUUCAAAAUGUUUUAAAUGUUUUUUUUAAAUUAAUUCUUUUUAAUUACCGCUUUAUAUGCUAAAUGCUGAUUUGACUAAAUGUUUCUGUUCUUUCUAAUUUUGUUCUUAUAUCAUCAGUGAGAAUCACUAUAAAUAUGACAAAAACGGUCUUUCAGUGGAAUUAACCUUCAAACACAUUCACAUGCAUUGCUAUAGUUUCCGAGAUGUUUUUUUUUUUGUCAUCAAAAAUGCAGAAAGUCAAACAUCUCACACUUUUUUUAUACAGUAUAUGGUAUUUGUUUUUAAAUUCCCUCAGUGUGUUACCAUUUCCGUUCUCCUAAUGUGCAUGUCUUUUUCUCAUCCUGAUGCUAGAUGACCUGUAAUUUAAAAUGGUAUUUAAAAUGCAUCUGCCAGCAGAAAGAUGAACACUGUGGCUUAGCAGAAGCCAUAACUGCGAGAAAAUAACACCAUCAUCUCAGAAUUAUUGUAAUUAUCAAAUAAUUCUGAAAAUCCUCCGUCCCAGAUAACAGGCCGCAUGAAUGUUACAUGUAAAAAAUAAAAAACAAAAGUUAAGAGUAUUGUAGGAACAUUUUAAAGUUGGAACAUUUUGACAGUUGCCGUUAAAUUCACAUGUGUCCUGGUGCGCUAACUAUAGAAGCAAGCGAGUGAUUACAGAGCCCAUGAACUUCAAAAGCUCUCUGUAUGGAAGACCGCUAACAUGGCUGCCAUCGUAUAAAGUGCAGAUGCUGGAGCUCUUGCUCAAGUUUCCAAAACUUAACUAUAAAACACUGUGUUUGGGUUAAUAUGUGGAUGGUAUGAUCUGGUAUGAUCCCAACAGCAGUGGUAGCAAUGAAGGUUCUGUAUUAGUGACCAGAAGAAACACCAGCAAACAAAACCAUAUUAAAUGAACAUUAACCACCAGCAAACAAAACUAAACUAAAUAAACGAACACAUUAAUUAAUUUACUUUUUCAUUCUUUUUCAGCAUCCUGUUCAGCGUUGUGGUGGAACCGGAGCCAGACCCAGGAACAUUGGGUGCAAGCCAAGAGAAUUCACACAUUCAUUCACACCUAGGGGCGGUUUAGAAUAGUCAAUUCCUGGACGAUUUAGUAGAGUGGGUGGAAACUGAAGAACAGAGCUCAGGAUCAAACCUGGGACCCUGAAGCUAUGAGGUGGCAACGCUACCUGCUGUAUCACUCUACCACUGUGUCAGCCAUUACACAAACAGCAGCCAACGCCCCCCCCCCCCCCCUCCCCCCCAUAAAUAAAUAAGUGCCAUCAACAAAAAACUACAUUAAAUAAAUAUUACACAGAAAACAAUGCCACACUAAAUAAACAUUAAGUCAGCAAACAAAACUACGUUAACAUUAAAAUACCAUCAACAAACAAAAGCAAACUAAAUAAACACUAACAAUGACACAAACAAAACAAAACUGAAUAUACAUCAACCCUGAGGCAAACAAAACUACAUUCACAUUAAAAUACCACCAACAAACAUAACUAAAUCAAUAUUGGUUAGCAGCAAACAAAACCAAACAAAAUAAACAAUAACAAUGACACAAACAAAACCAAACUGAAUAUACAUAAACCCUGAGGCAAACAAAAAUAAUAAACACAAAAAAGCAAAGAAAAUGAAAGCAAAUAACAUUACUGUACACAAACAGCAGCCAAAAAACGAACAAAAUAAACACCAACCAUCAGCAAAUAAAUGCAAACUAAACGAAUAUUAAAGGCAGCAAAUAAUAAUAAAACCAACCUAAAUAAACACCAACCACAAUUUACACCAAACUCAAUCAAAAAAAAAAAUACAAUCAGCAAAUAAAACAAAGCUAAACAAACACCUAAAAUUCAAACAACAGCAAACAAAACCAAAGUAAAUAAGCACCAAACAUCCACAAACAUAUCUAAAUAAAUGUUAAAAAACCAUCAGCAAACAAAAAGAAACUAAAUAAAUAUUAAACAGCAGCAAACAAAAUCGACCUAAAUAAACACCAACCAUCAGCAAACAAGCCUAAACUAAAUAAACACCAACCAUCAGUAAACAAGCCUAAAUUAAUAAACACCAACCAUCAGCAAACAAGCCUAAACUAAAUAAACACCAACCAUCAGUAAACAAGCCUAAAUUAAUAAACACCAACCAUCAGCAAACAAGCCUAAACUAAAUAAACACCAACCAUCAGUAAACAAGCCUAAACUAAAUAAACACCAACCAUCAGUAAACAAGCCUAAACUAAAUAAACACCAACCAUCAGCAAACAAGCCUAAAUUAAUAAACACCAACCAUCAGCCAACAAGCCUAAACUAAAUAAACACCAACCAUCAGCCAACAAGCCUAAACUAAAUAAACACCAACCAUCAUAAAACAAGCCUAAACUAAAUAAACACCAACCAUCAGUAAACAAGCCUAAACUAAAUUAAACACCAA